rnacentral:rRNA from 1 species
UCGGGAAUUUUGGGCAAUGGGCGAAAGCCUGACCCAGCAACGCCGCGUGAAGGAUGAAGUCUCUCGGGAUGUAAACUUCGUAAGAAUAGGAAGAAUAAAUGACGGUACUAUUUGUAAGGUCCGGCUAACUACGUGCCAGCAGCCGCGGUAAUACGUAGGGACCAAGCGUUGUUCGGAUUUACUGGGCGUAAAGGGCGCGUAGGCGGUUUGUCAAGUCAGUUGUGAAAUCUCCGAGCUUAACUCGGAACGGUCAACUGAUACUGUCAAACUAGAGUACAGAAGGGGCAAUCGGAAUUCUUGGUGUAGCGGUGAAAUGCGUAGAUAUCAAGAGGAACACCUGAGGUGAAGACGGGUUGCUGGGCUGAUACUGACGCUGAGGCGCGAAAGCUAGGGUAGCAAACGGG